rnacentral:rRNA from 1 species
GAUGAACGCUGGCGGCAUGCUUUACACAUGCAAGUCGGACGGGAAGUGGUGUUUCCAGUGGCGGGCGGGUGAGUAACGCGUAAGAACCUGCCCUUGGGAGGGGAACAACAGCUGGAAACGGCUGCUAAUACCCCGUAGGCUGAGGAGCGAAAGGAGGAAUCCGCCCAAGGAGGGGCUCGCGUCUGAUUAGCUAGUUGGUGAGGUAAUAGCUUACCAAGGCCGUGAUCAGUAGCUGGUCCGAGAGGAUGAUCAGCCACACUGGGACUGAGACAAGGCCCAGACUCCUACGGGAGGCAGCAGUGGGGAAUUUUCCGCAAUGGGCGAAAGCCUGACGGAGCAAUGCCGCGUGGAGGUAAAAGGCCUACGGGUCGUGAACUUCUUUUCCUGGAGAAGAAACAAUGACGGUAUCUGGGGAAUAAGCAUCGGCUAACUCUGUG